AACGAACGCUGGCGGCAUGCCUAACACAUGCAAGUCGAACGAGACCUUCGGGUCUAGUGGCGCACGGGUGCGUAACGCGUGGGAACCUGCCCUUAGGUUCGGAAUAACUCCCCGAAAGGGGUGCUAAUACCGGAUAAUGUCUUCGGACCAAAGAUUUAUCGCCUUUGGAUGGGCCCGCGUUGGAUUAGCUAGUUGGUAGGGUAAAAGCCUACCAAGGCGACGAUCCAUAGCUGGUCUGAGAGGAUGAUCAGCCACACUGGGACUGAGACACGGCCCAGACUCGUACGGGAGGCAGCAGUGGGGAAUAUUGGACAAUGGGCGAAAGCCUGAUCCAGCAAUGCCGCGUGAGUGAUGAAGGCCUUAGGGUUGUAAAGCUCUUUUAACCGGGAUGAUAAUGACAGUACCGGGAGAAUAAGCUCCGGCUAACUCCGUG
rnacentral:rRNA from 1 species